rnacentral:rRNA from 1 species
AUGAACGCUGGCGGCGUGCUUAACACAUGCAAGUCGAACGAUUAAGACGGCUUCGGCCGUGUAUAGAGUGGCGAACGGGUGAGUAACACGUGACCAACCUGCCCCGCGCUCCGGGACAACCGCUGGAAACGGCGGCUAAUACCGGAUGCUCCGGGGAGGCCCCAUGGCCUCCCCGGGAAAGCCCUGACGGCGCGGGAUGGGGUCGCGGCCCAUUAGGUAGACGGCGGGGUAACGGCCCACCGUGCCCGCGAUGGGUAGCCGGACUGAGAGGUCGACCGGCCACAUUGGGACUGAGAUACGGCCCAGACUCCUACGGGAGGCAGCAGUGGGGAAUUUUGCGCAAUGGGGGCAACCCUGACGCAGCAACGCCGCGUGCGGGACGAAGGCCUUCGGGUUGUAAACCGCUUUCAGCAGGGAAGACUUUGACGGUACCUGCAGAAGAAGCUCCGGCUAACUACGUGCCAGCAGCCGCGGUAAUACGUAGGGGGCGAGCGUUAUCCGGAUUCAUUGGGCGUAAAGCGCGCGUAGGCGGCCGCCUAAGCGGAACCUCUAAUCCCGGGGCUCAACCUCGGGCCGGGUUCCGGACUGGGCGGCUCGAGUGCGGUAGAGGCAGGCGGAAUUCCCGGUGUAGCGGUGGAAUGCGCAGAUAUCGGGAAGAACACCGAUGGCGAAGGCAGCCUGCUGGGCCGCCACUGACGCUGAGGCGCGAAAGCUGGGGGAGCGAACAGGAUUAGAUACCCUGGUAGUCCACACCGUAAACGAUGGAUACUAGGUGUAGGGAACGAUAUGUUUUCUGUGCCGAAAGCAAACGCAAUAAGUAUCCCACCUGGGGAGUACGGCCGCAAGGUUGAAACUCAAAGGAAUUGACGGGGGCCCGCACAAGCAGUGGAGUAUGUGGUUUAAUUCGAAGCAACGCGAAGAACCUUACCAGGGCUUGACAUAUACAGGAAUACUUAAGAAAUUAGGUAGUCUUUCGAGACUUGUAUACAGGUGGUGCAUGGUUGUCGUCAGCUCGUGUCGUGAGAUGUUGGGUUAAGUCCCGCAACGAGCGCAACCCCCGUCCCGUGUUGCCAGCAUUCAGUUGGGGACUCGCGGGAGACUGCCGGCGUCAAGCCGGAGGAAGGUGGGGACGACGUCAAGUCAUCAUGCCCCUUAUGCCCUGGGCUGCACACGUGCUACAAUGGCCGGUACAGAGGGUUGCCACCCCGCGAGGGGGAGCGGAUCCCGGAAAGCCGGUCCCAGUUCGGAUCGCAGGCUGCAACCCGCCUGCGUGAAGUCGGAGUUGCUAGUAAUCGCGGAUCAGCAUGCCGCGGUGAAUACGUUCCCGGGCCUUGUACACACCGCCCGUCACACCACCCGAGUCGUCUGCACCCGAAGCCGCCGGCCGAACCCGAAAGGGGCGGAGGCGUCGAAGGUGUGGAGGGUAAGGGGGGUG